UGGAUCAAAAUGAAACAACACACAAAUUAGAAGGUCGAAUUUUAAAACAUAGGGUAGGCAAAUUGGGCGCAAAUUGGAUGUUGUGCGCAAGGGAAAGGACCCACCAAGAAAAUUCCCCACUUUUGAGUGAUAAUGUGCAAAUUGGGCCUGCCAAAUGAGCUGACACGCGGGCCUUUAUUUAUGCUAACAUCACUACUUUGUUAAAAGGUUAUUUAAAACCUUUCUUUUCCCAUUUUCCAUCUCAAACGCAGCCCCAUUUUUAAGUCGAAAAUCACAGCCUUGGAAGCAAAUUUCUAGGGUUUCUUUUGCUAGCAGCCGAACCACCAUUGUUUUGAUGAUCAACAGCAUGCAGAUAGUACUCAUCUUCCUCGUUGAAGGCGUUCGACCAUGCCUAGAGAAAUUUGGUACGGGUCUGUUGGCAUGCGCAUGGGGUAUGGGUCUAGGCUGGAGUGGCACGGGGGUACCGAGGUGGUACAGAGACCGAGGAUGCUGAGGUGCAAACACGUGCUGCUAGGGCUUCAGUCUUGGUUUAGUGUUCUGGGUCUAUCGGGCCUUAUAAAUUUGGGCCAAGUUUUAAAAUUGGGUUUGGGUCUGAUAGGGUUAUUUAAUAGGCUGAGGUUUAUUUAUUUAUUUAUUUAUUGUAUAUUUGGGUUUCUAGUGGGCCCGGGCAAAUUUGGCCCACUACACCUAUUAUGUAAGAACAACCAAUGAAGUGUAAGAAGAGGUGACAGUAGAAGUCACCCAUGUGAUGAUAGUAAAUGAAGAUGGGGGGUUUUAAUGCGAUCCCUUUUUGAA